GCUGGGCAUGGUGGCUCAUGCCUGUAAUCCUAGCACUUUGGGAGGCUGAGGCAGGUGGAUCACCUGAGGUCAGGAGUUUGAGACCAGCCUGGCCAACAUGGUGAAAACCCGUCUCUA
ensembl:misc_RNA Metazoa_SRP Metazoan signal recognition particle RNA